rnacentral:rRNA from 1 species
GGAGUGGACGCAUCACUGGUGUACCAGUUGUCUCGCCAGAGGCACUGCUGGGUAGCUAAAUGCGGAAGAGAUAAGUGCUGAAAGCAUCUAAGCACGAAACUCGCCUUAAGAUGAGUUCUCCCAGUCUAUAAGACUGUAAGGGUUGUUGGA